UACGGAGGGUGCAAGCGUUAUCCGGAUUCACUGGGUUUAAAGGGCGCGUAGGCGGCCUUGAUAGUUGGGCGUGAAAGGCCUGGGCUUAACCCGGGAACUGCGUUCAAUACUGCGAGGCUAGAGUGUGGGAGAGGUUGGUGGAAUUCCCAGUGUAGAGGUGAAAUUCGUAGAUAUUGGGAAGAACACCGGUGGCGAAGGCGGCCAACUGGACCACAACUGACGCUGAGGCGCGAAAGCGUGGGGAGCAAACAGG
rnacentral:rRNA from 1 species